rnacentral:rRNA from 1 species
AUGUCGACGACGACGCAGAGCGCGGCCCUGUCGGCGAAAUGCGCGGCGUGGGCGCAGGAGCGGCGGCCGUUCACGCACCCGAUCGAGAUCCCGGCGGCCUCCGGCGCGCCGGACGAGCGGAGGGGCCGCGGCGAGGAGGAGGACGGCGGGGAGGUGGAGCCGCCGCACGUGCUGAUGGCGCGGCGCAGGGCGGCCUCCUCGGUGUGCUCCGGCCAGGGGCGGACGCUCAAGGGCCGGGACCUCACGCGCACGCUCAAGCAAAGGACGAUGCAACGGGAAGAGCAGGAGGAGGAAGAAUUCCAUGAAGCAGACAUACUGUGGCCAGAUGCAGCCCAGGAUCCGGGCUACUCUGACGACGACGGCGACGAAGGCCAUGACGAGUACCGCCGUCCCGCCCGUCCGGCCAACGCGCCAAACCGGCAGAAACCGUCUUCCCCCAUCGACAUCCCCGGAAAGACCGGUAGGGCUACUGGUGCAAAAGCGCCGGCUCAGCAGGCCGGGUUCAGCAAGUUCGGCGCGAGCCUUGCGGGCGCCGGCGCCGGCAGCGUGAUGAUCGGCAGCCAAGUCUUCGUGCCGCCGCACGUCAUCGUCGAUCGGAGGGCCAAGAGGGACAUGGCGAUGCUGAUGCUCGUCGACGCGCCCAAGGUCCGGAGAGUGAGGGCGAUGGUGAUGCUCGAGUAG